AUUUUCUUACAAGACUUUCUUUUCAUACUUGUCAUUUUUUCACAUGACUUUCUUCACAAGAAGGCAUGAGAUUUUCAUGAAGGAUGCGUGGUCGAUUGCCUAGGCAUACCGAGCCUUUCAAGGUCAAAUGAAUUAGUGUGACCAAGGGUGGAGUUGGGUGCACCCGAAAAAAAAAAGGAAAAAAUAAACUAAAUUUUACCUUAAAAUGAAAUUGGACUUGGGGGACAAACCUGAGCAUGACCCACGCAUAAAUCCUGCACUGGAGGUUGAUCGUAGGGACGAAAACGUUGUAGAUCAGCUAAAAGUCGCAUAGCCAACAUAGGGACCAAACAAAAAGGAGUAGCAGAUGAGUAUCUCAGCACUCUUUCUUCUUAAAAUAUAUUUUGUUCGAUUUGCUAUUUGAGAAGCAAAAAAUUUCCCAGCUCAUGACUUAUGAAUGCGGAAGUGACCUGGUAGACCUUUUGGAUAAAUACACAUCUUAGAUGAAGCUCCAAGGAAAAAUGAUGCCAUAGUGUGUAAAAUAUUCCCAUUAACAUUUGAGGAUAGAUCACAAAGAUGGUUAAAAUGUUAUCACAACGACCUAUCACAAGUUUGAAUGACCUGGCCAACAAUCGAAAAUCAAAAUAAUUUUUUUUGCAAUCAAUGUCACUUUGACUACAUUCUUUUCAAAGGAAUUUCUGUUUAUUUUAUACCCAAAAUCUGCAAAUAAUCAACAUAAUUCAUACAUUUUACCAUGCAUGUAAGUAACUUCGAAAUUUUGAUUUAAGUAGUUCAAGUUUUGCUUGAUUGUUCAUUAAUAGACUAUAAAUUCCAUAAUUAUUUAGUAAAUGAAAUCAGCAAUUAGCUAAUUUCACAAAUUUUGGAGCAUGUUUAGAUAUAUUUGAACCAUUGCCAAAUUUUUUAUUUAGCGUACUUGCAUAUAAUCUUCAUGAUUUUUUGGCUCUGUUUUGGAGAUUUGAUGAUAAUUUUAACAAUUAAAAUAUCGUGCGACAUUCUACUAAUUAAAAGAUCAAAAAUGUUAUCACAAAUUUGACCAUUACAUGUUAUGAUGAAAAAGUAAUCAUAAAAAUGAAUACAAGGAGUUCGUGAAAAUAAAAAUAAAAAUAUAAAUUAAGAUUCUACAUUAGAAAGUGACAUGUUGUGACAAUUUUAUGAAUUUGUCAUUUUUUUAAUGAGAUGUAUGUCACUUUUAUUUAUUUUUGUGAAGGAUGUUGAGAGAAAUUAAAUGUGGGAUAAGAAAGUUGAUGGAGCAGGUUUGAAAUUAAAGGUACAUGUAAUGUCUUAAAUAAUAUGUUCCCUAACAUCCUUUUUAGUAGAUAAAUUUGAUUUCUCUUAUUAUUUGUCCCGUUUUUG
rnacentral:lncRNA from 1 species